GCCGGACGGAAAAGGUAGCUUCGGCCUCCGGUUGGGGACGAGCCCGCGGCGGAUUAGCUUGUUGGUGGGGUAAUGGCUCACCAAGGCGACGAUCCGUAGCUGGUCUGAGAGGACGAUCAGCCACACUGGGACUGAGACACGGCCCAGACUCCUACGGGAGGCAGCAGUGGGGAAUCUUGCGCAAUGGGCGAAAGCCUGACGCAGCGACGCCGCGUGAGGGAAGAAGGCCUUCGGGUUGUAAACCUCUUUCAGGAGGGACGAAGCCACUCGGGUUAAUAGCCCAGAGGGUGACGGUACCUCCAGAAGAAGCCCCGGCUAACUACGUGCCAGCAGCCGCGGUAAUACGUAGGGGGCAAGCGUUGUCCGGAUUUAUUGGGCGUAAAGAGCGUGUAGGCGGCCAUGCAGGUCAGCUGUGAAAACUCGAGGCUCAACCUCGAGAUGUCGGUUGAAACCGUGUGGCUAGAGUCCGGGAGAGGAGAGUGGAAUUCCCGGUGUAGCGGUGAAAUGCGCAGAUAUCGGGAAGAACACCCGUGGCGAAGGCGGCUCUCUGGGACGGUACUGACGCUGAGACGCGAAAGCGUGGGGAGCGAACAGGAUUAGAUACCCUGGUAGUCCACGCCGUAAACGAUGGGUGCUAGGUGUGGGGGGUGUCGACUCCCUCCGUGCCGAAGCUAACGCAUUAAGCACCCCGCC
rnacentral:rRNA from 1 species